AUUGAACGCUGGCGGCAGGCCUAACACAUGCAAGUCGAACGAGUGGCGGACUGGUGAGUAAUUGCUGGGAAACUGCCUGAUGGAGGGGGAUAACUACUGGAAACGGUAGCUAAUACCGCAUACCAUCAGCUGUGCCCAGAUGGGAGUAGCUAGUUGGUGGGGUAACGGCUCACCAAGGAGACGAUCCCUAGCUGGUCUGAGAGGAUGACCCGCCACACUGGAACUGAGACACGGUCCAGACUCCUACGGGAGGCAGCAGUGGGGAAUAUUGGACAAUGGGCGAAAGCCUGAUGCAGCCAUGCCGCGUGAAUGAAGAAGGCCUUCGGGUUGUAAAGUACUGUCAGCGGGGAGGCGGUACCUGAAGAAGAAGCACCGGCUAACUCCGUGCCAGCAGCCGCGGUAAUAC
rnacentral:rRNA from 1 species